UUUUAUGGAGAGUUUGAUCCUGGCUCAGAGUGAACGCUGGCGGCGUGCCUAAUACAUGCAAGUCGAACGAUGAAGCUUCUAGCUUGCUAGAAUGCUGAUUAGUGGCGCACGGGUGAGUAACGCAUAGGUUAUGUGCCUCUUAGUUUGGGAUAGCCAUUGGAAACGAUGAUUAAUACCAGAUACUCCCUACGGGGGAAAGAUUUAUCGCUAAGAGAUCAGCCUAUGUCCUAUCAGCUUGUUGGUAAGGUAAUGGCUUACCAAGGCUAUGACGGGUAUCCGGCCUGAGAGGGUGAACGGACACACUGGAACUGAGACACGGUCCAGACUCCUACGGGAGGCAGCAGUAGGGAAUAUUGCUCAAUGGGGGAAACCCUGAAGCAGCAACGCCGCGUGGAGGAUGAAGGUUUUAGGAUUGUAAACUCCUUUUGUUAGAGAAGAUAAUGACGGUAUCUAACGAAUAAGCACCGGCUAACUCCGUGCCAGCAGCCGCGGUAAUACGGAGGGUGCAAGCGUUACUCGGAAUCACUGGGCGUAAAGAGCGCGUAGGCGGGAUAGUCAGUCAGGUGUGAAAUCCUAUGGCUUAACCAUAGAACUGCAUUUGAAACUACUAUUCUAGAGUGUGGGAGAGGUAGGUGGAAUUCUUGGUGUAGGGGUAAAAUCCGUAGAGAUCAAGAGGAAUACUCAUUGCGAAGGCGACCUGCUGGAACAUUACUGACGCUGAUUGCGCGAAAGCGUGGGGAGCAAACAGGAUUAGAUACCCUGGUAGUCCACGCCCUAAACGAUGGAUGCUAGUUGUUGGAGGGCUUAGUCUCUCCAGUAAUGCAGCUAACGCAUUAAGCAUCCCGCCUGGGGAGUACGGUCGCAAGAUUAAAACUCAAAGGAAUAGACGGGGACCCGCACAAGCGGUGGAGCAUGUGGUUUAAUUCGAAGAUACACGAAGAACCUUACCUAGGCUUGACAUUGAGAGAAUCCGCUAGAAAUAGUGGAGUGUCUGGCUUGCCAGACCUUGAAAACAGGUGCUGCACGGCUGUCGUCAGCUCGUGUCGUGAGAUGUUGGGUUAAGUCCCGCAACGAGCGCAACCCCCUUUCUUAGUUGCUAACAGGUUAUGCUGAGAACUCUAAGGAUACUGCCUCCGUAAGGAGGAGGAAGGUGGGGACGACGUCAAGUCAUCAUGGCCCUUACGCCUAGGGCUACACACGUGCUACAAUGGGGUGCACAAAGAGAAGCAAUACUGCGAAGUGGAGCCAAUCUUCAAAACACCUCUCAGUUCGGAUUGUAGGCUGCAACUCGCCUGCAUGAAGCUGGAAUCGCUAGUAAUCGCAAAUCAGCCAUGUUGCGGUGAAUACGUUCCCGGGUCUUGUACUCACCGCCCGUCACACCAUGGGAGUUGUGUUUGCCUUAAGUCAGGAUGCUAAAUUGGCUACUGCCCACGGCACACACAGCGACUGGGGUGAAGUCGUAACAAGGUAACCGUAGGUGAACCUGCGGUUGGAUCACCUCCUUUCUAGA
rnacentral:rRNA from 1 species